GGCAGCUUCAAAAGGAGGGCAUAAUUUGGAGGCUCCUAGCUUGCAACAUGGUUCUAGUUCUCGACAAAACUCAAUAGAUGAAAUUGAGGAAGAAAUUGAUGGCGAAGAUGGCGAUGAAGAGGACGGUGAAGAUGACAAUGUUCAGAGAAGGAAAUUUGUUGCAAAUCCAAGAAACUCUUCAACCCAGCAAGAUGAAAGCCUUAUUGGGAUGGAUGUGCUUCUCUAUGCAUGGACUGGUCCUGAAACUCCUGUUGCUAAGGCAACAGUUCUCUCAGUCGAUCCAGACACAACUGUGGGUGGGGAGCCCCUUGGACCUGGUACUUAUGAGGUUAUUGUGAAUGUUGCCAUUAAAAGGGAUACUAUUCUUCCAUAUCAGUACGAGGACUUACUAUACAUUAGGGAUGCUGUCACAAGGUCCAUUGCAUGGCCAUCUAGCAAGAUGAAGCCCUACAAACCAGCUGUGUCUGGCUCAUCUCGCCACUGAGAUUUUUCAGUUCAAAAUCAGUUUCGAAGACAUCAACUGAAGAUGAUGUGUCCCCUCUAAAUAUGAAUUAUCAUGCUAAACAUUUCCCGCGAGCCACCAAGCCACCAAGUACCUGG